UGUGAAGAUAUGAUUUCUCCCAAGCCAGCUCUGUGGGAUGAACCAAUGAGGGAAUAUAUAGAGACUGCAACCUACCACAAUCAAAGGGCCGGCGCUACCAUUAGGCAGCUUUAGGCAGCUGCCUAUGGGUGCCAGCACUUGAAGGGCGGCACUGAGUGGAACAAAAAAAUUAAGGAAGUGACUGUUGACUGUGCAGUGCGCUCGCCGUGAGGGGGACCCAUUCUCUGCUCGCCCGAUGUCAGAUCUGCCGUUAGAGCCACAUGUCCGUGGUUGUUCCCACCAGCACCUCCAGCGUCGCUCGCUCACUCCGCCGCCCCCGCCUUGGACCACAAACCGUGUAAGCGGUGACGGAGCUGCUGGAGCCCGAGGAGGAGGCCGGGUGCCGGUGGCAUUUAGUAUAUUACUUAUCAUGCAGCCUGGGACCCGCCAGCCGGAGCCAGAGGCGGAACUUUACUAUGAGGAUGACGGCUCAUGGUGCCAUUGACUUUCUAUAAGCCGGCGCCAGAGCACAUCGCUGGGGCCAGCUAAGCUUACCAUGUACUUGCAGGUGGCUUGCUGACCCCUUCGCAGGGACAAGUGGCCGCCUCUCUACAAAAACUCCUCCGGCUCAGACACCUAUCAUCUGGUUGGUGCGGAAGUCAGUGAUUCCGCCCUUCACAGGAUCUGCCACGGGGAGUGAACAUUCCAGGAGCCCCAUCAAUGGACACAGGAGGCCGGGGGCACCGAGACUGGCACUGCUGCUGCUACUACUUCAGCCAGGGCCCAGACUUGAAUCCGAUUGAACAUCUCUGGAGUGACCUGAAAAUGGCUGUGCACCGACGUUUCCCAUCCAACCUGAUGGAGCUAGAGAAGUGCUGCAAAGAGGAAUGGGCGAAACGGCCUAAAGAUAGGUGUGCCAAGGUUGUGGCAUCAUAUUCAAAAAGACUUGAGACUGUAAUUGCUGCCAAAGGUGCAUCAACAAAGUAUUGAGCAAAGGCUGUGAAUACAUGUGAUGUCUUAGUUUUUUUAUUUUUAAUAAAUUUGCAAAAAUCUAAAAAAUAAAUAAAAAUGUCACGUCAUUAUAGGGUAUUGUGUGUAGAAUUUUGAAGGAAAAAAUGAAUUUAUUCCAUUUUGGAAUAAGGCUGUAACAUAACAAACUGUGGAAAAAGUGAAGCGCUGUGAAUACUUUCCAGAUGCAUUGUACUUUUGAACUAAUCAGCACUUCUGUUGACAGUCUAGUCUGUGUGUAUGUGUUGAGGAAGAUUUAGGGGGAGAGGUCUUGAAACAGUGUUGACUUGAGGAGACCUGGACAAUGAAAUUCGUUUAACAGAGAAUGAUCAACAGGUAUGGGUCAUUGGGUCGACCACACUUAGGUCGACAGUCAUUAGGUUGACAUGCAGAAGGUCGACAGGGUUGCUAGGUCGACACAGUCUAUAGGUCGACAUGGAAAAGGAUCGACAGGAGGUUGUUGUUUUUUUUUUCAUUUUUUUGGUGUCGUUUUCUUUGUAGAGUGACUGGGAACCUUAAAUAGUGCACCGUGUCCCCUCGGAAGGCUCGCUUCACUCGUCAUGCUUCGGGGACAAAUACAGGUUACCGUCCCCAAUUGUAGUCCACGUGGAUCGCAACGAAUGAAAUAGCUGGAAAAAAAAUUUUGGGCUGAAAACUCAUGUCGACCUUUCUUCAUGUCGACCCAGCAACCCUGUCGACCUACUGCAUGUCGACCAAUAGUGGUCGACCUAACGACUGUCUACCUAACGACCGUAUCCCGAAUCAACAGAGCUAGGUCAUGAAACCUUGCAAAGUUCUCAAAUACUUGAGCAAGUUUAACAGAGCCAGUUGUUUAGAUAGUUGCAUGCCUAGAUAUCAUUUUAUGCUUAACCAUUAAGAAAGUCAGCAUUCAUUGUAACUUGCUGUAACAUCUAAGAUAUAGAACAUUUGUAAGUCCCCUGACUGCUUAUCUUUUCUCACUUGUACCUGAAUAAAAAAUAUUGCAAUUAUAAAAUUAUCCUCAU